rnacentral:lncRNA from 10 species
GUCUGGCUGCAGAGAGAAGUCCAGGAUGCCUUCCAGGCAAAGGCUGCCAGGGAGAGCUGGCCCCUCAGUUGAUUAAGGUCUCUCCUUUCUCCACCCAGAUAGCCCGGAGACCAUCGGCAGGCGAGUGGCUGUGGGACUCGGGUCCUGCCUCGCCAUCCUCAUCCUGGCAAUCUGUGGGCUCAAGCUCCAGCGACGUUGGAAGAGGACACAGAGCCAGCAGGGGCUUCAGGAGAAUUCCAGCGGCCAGAGCUUCUUUGUGAGGAAUAAAAAGGUAGGAUGGGGCUGGGCACGAUGGCUCAUGCCUGUAAUCCCAGCACUUUGGGAGGCUGAGGCAGGUGGAUCACCUGAGGUCAGGAGUUCGAGACCAGCGUAGCCAACAUGGUGAAACCCUGUCUCUACAAAAAAUAUUUUAAAAAUUAGCCGGGCGUGAUGGUCCAUGCCUGUAAUUCCAGCUACUCGGGAGGCUGAGGCAGGAGAAUCGCUUGAACCUGGGAGGCAGAGGUUGCAGUGAGCCAAGAUUGCGCCAUUGCACUCCAGCCUGGGUGACAUACUGAGACUCUGCCUCAAAA